rnacentral:misc_RNA from 1 species
GACAUUCAAAUAUUCAGUGAGUAAAAAUAGAAAAUGAGAUUUAAUGAAAAGUUGCUGGCUGAACUGAAAAUUAGCUCUUUUUGGAUUUUGCCCUUUUAUUUUCUAUUACUUUUCCUUUUUCAAGAUGAACCUAUUGCUCUCCUUCGGAAUCAUUAGUCAUUACUAUUGCUUAAACUUGACCUUGAUUUUAUAAUAUCCUGAAAUUCACCAAUCAUGCUCAUAAUUAAAAUUUACCAAUUUUGUAGUGG